CACUUUCUGCAGUUUCAGUUAUCCAUGGCUUGAAAAUAUUAAGAUAUUUUGAAAGAAAGAGGAAGAAAAAGAGGCGUCAGUCACAUAACUUUUAUUACAGCACAUCGUUACGUUUCUAUUUCAUUAUUAGUUAUUGUUCAUAUCUUACUCUGCCUAACUUAUAAACUUUAACAUGCAUAUGUAUGGGAAAAAAAACAUAGUAUAUAUAAGGUUUGGUACUAUCUGCAGUUUCAGGCAUCCACUAAGGAUAUCAGAACAUAUUCUCUGCAUAUUUAGGAGCAAUUACCGUAUGAUAUUUUUUUCUUUCUGUGUAAACACAUGGUGUCAUAGUCCAUUUUGUGCUACUGUAACAGAAUAUCACAGACUAAUAACAAAUAACAGAAAUUUAUUGGCUUAUAGUUCUGUAGGCUGAGAAGUCCAAAAUCAAGAUGCUGGCAUCUGGGAAGGGCUUUUUUUCCAUAUAAAACCAUGCCUCCAUUUAUAAAAACAGACUUUUUUUGGACAGUUUAACAGUUACAGAAAAACUGAACAGGAAUUACAGAGAGUUCCCGUAUGUCCCCUCAAGCCCUCUUCCCUCCAGUUUCCACUAUUAGUAACAUCUUGCAUUAGUGUGGUACAUUUGUUAAAAUUGGUGAGCCAAUAUUGAUACAUUAUUAAGUCCAUAGUUUACAUUAGGGUUCACUCUUUGUGCAGUUUUAUUGGUUGUUAUAUUUUAUUGGUUUUGACAAAGGUAUGACAUGUAUCCACCAUUACAGUAUCAUUCAGAAUAGUUUCACUGCCUUAAAAAUCCUCUGUGCUCCACCUAUUCAUCCAACCCUUCCCAUGGACCACUGGUAACCACUACCUUUUCACUGUCUCCAUGGUUUUGCCUUUUCCAGAUUACCAUAUAGUUGGACUCAUACAAUAUGUAAUCCUUUCAGAUUGGCUUUUCCUUAGCAAUAUGCAUUUAAGGUUCCUCCAUUAUCCAGAGAUGGUUUUAGUUGUCACAACUUGGGUAGAGAGAUCAGGGGUCAAUGCUACUGGCAUCUAGUGGGUGGUAGAGACUGAGGUAGCUCAUGAGCAUCCUACAAUGCCCAGGACAGCCCCCUACAAAAAAGAAUUAUUCAGCCCCAAAUGCCAACCAUGCUCGAGGUUGAGUAACCUUGUGUUAAGAGUGACAUGUGGCAUGAGAAAUGGGGCGGUUUUGGCUCAUGUUGUGAUAUUCUAGAUUCAGAUAUUUCCCUGAGCAGAGAGGCUGAAAUGCUGAAAAUUUUUCAUUUGAUGACCUUGAUGCUUCCUUUCCUGACCAUCGUAAAGAACAAAUGGCUCCUUUGCUUUGGCAAGAAAUACUGAAGGUGGUGGCUUUUUUCUGUUUGUUUUGAAAUGAAGUCUUGCUAUGUUGCUCAAGCCAGUCUUGAAUUCCUGAACUUCUGGUCUCAAGUGAUCCUCCUGACUCAGCCUCCAGAGUAGCUGGGACUACAGGCACAUGUUACUGCACCAGCCUUCAACGUGAUUUUUUUUAUUUCAUUCAGGUGACAAACUCAUGCUGAGGUUCCCAAUUUUUGUCUCAGAGCUAGGAUAUUC
rnacentral:lncRNA from 10 species